AAUCGUGACUCGGGUUACCGCGGCUGCUGGCACGGAGUUAGCCGGUGCUUCUUCUGCGAGUAACGUCACAGAUGUAAGGUAUUAACUUACACCCUUUCCUCCUCGCUGAAAGUGCUUUACAACCCGAAGGCCUUCUUCACACACGCGGCAUGGCUGCAUCAGGGUUUCCCCCAUUGUGCAAUAUUCCCCACUGCUGCCUCCCGUAGGAGUCUGGGCCGUGUCUCAGUCCCAGUGUGGCUGAUCAUCCUCUCAGACCAGCUAGGGAUCGUCGCCUAGGUGAGCCUUUACCUCACCUACUAGCUAAUCCCACCUGGGCUUAUCCAUCAGCGCAAGGCCCGAAGGUCCCCCUGCUUUCCCCCGGUAGGGCGUAUGCGGUAUUAGCAGUCG
rnacentral:rRNA from 1 species